rnacentral:rRNA from 1 species
UAUCUCUGUAGAGUCUGCAUAUCAAUAAGCGGAGGAAAAGAAACUAACUAGGAUUCCCUCAGUAACGGCGAGUGAAGCGGGAAGAGCUCAAAUUUGAAAUCUUCAAGGUUCUACCUUGACGAAUUGUAGUUUAAAGAAGUGUUUUCUGUUGGAGUUUUGGUAAAAGUUCUUUGGAAUAGGACAUCAUAGAGGGUGAGAAUCCCGUAUUUGACCAUUAUUUCCAGCUUUGUGAUACACUUUCAAAGAGUCGGAUUGUUUGGGAAUGCAGUCCUAAAUGGGUGGUAAAUUUCAUCUAAAGCUAAAUAUUGGCGAGAGACCGAUAGCGAACAAGUACCGUGAGGGAAAGAUGAAAAGAACUUUGAAAAGAGAGUUAAACAGUACGUGAAAUUGUCAAAAGGGAAGCGUUUGACACCAGUGUUGUUUUCUCGAAAAUCAAUUAAAAAAAGUUGGAUUUUGUAUUGUUAAGACCUUAUCAGCUUACUGUACUCUUUUCUUGCUUUUUUUAAUGCACUUUUCGUUUAACAAGUCAACAUCAAUUUCUUUUGUUGUAAAAGAGUCAUUGGAAGGUGGCUUUCACUUCGGUGAAAGUGUUUAUAGCCUUUGGCCUCUGCAAUCGGAGAGAUUGAGGUCUGCAGCGUAGAUCCUUCGGGGUUAGAUACAUUUGUGCUAAGUUAUAGCCUUUCAUAGACAACUUGUUGACUAUGAUCAGUCAUGUAGCUUACUCGCUUAUGCUAUUUUACCUACGCUUAGGAUGUUGACGAUCAGCUGAGCGCG